rnacentral:rRNA from 1 species
GACGAACGCUGGCGGCGUGCUUAACACAUGCAAGUCGAACGGUAAGGCCCUUCGGGGUACACGAGUGGCGAACGGGUGAGUAACACGUGGGUGAUCUGCCCUGCACUUCGGGAUAAGCCUGGGAAACUGGGUCUAAUACCGGAUAGGACCACUGCCUGCAUGGGUGGUGGUGGAAAGCUCUUGCGGUGUGGGAUGGGCCCGCGGCCUAUCAGCUUGUUGGUGGGGUGAUGGCCUACCAAGGCGACGACGGGUAGCCGGCCUGAGAGGGUGACCGGCCACACUGGGACUGAGAUACGGCCCAGACUCCUACGGGAGGCAGCAGUGGGGAAUAUUGCACAAUGGGCGCAAGCCUGAUGCAGCGACGCCGCGUGAGGGAUGACGGCCUUCGGGUUGUAAACCUCUUUCAGCACCGACGAAGCGCAAGUGACGGUAGGUGCAGAAGAAGGACCGGCCAACUACGUGCCUGCCGCCGCGGUAA